UGCAGUCGAGCGACAGACGAAAAGCUUGCUUCUCUGAGGCUAGCGGCGGACGGGUGAGUAACGUCUGGGAAACCGACCGAUAAGACUGGGAAAACUCCGGGAAACCGGGGUUAUUACCGGAUAAUAUUUUGAACCGCAUGGGUCGAUCUUGAGGCAUCGUGUCGGCUGAUGCUUCUAGAUGGACCCGCGCCGUAUUAGCUAUAUGGGCUCGUCUCGGCUUACAUCCGCGACUAUACUUAGACGACCUGAGAGGGUGAUCGGCUGACUGGAACUGAGACUCCUACGGACUCCUACGGGAGGCAAUAUUGCGGAAUCUUCCGCAAUGGGCGAAAGCCUGACGGAGCAACGCCGCGUGACUGAUGAAGGUCUUCGGAUCUCAAAACUCUGUUGUUAGGGAAGAACAAAUUUGUUAAUCGAUGAACAAGUCUUGACGGUACCUAACCAGCUAGCCCCGGCUAACUACGUGCCAGCAGCCGCGGUAAUACGUAGGUGGCAAGAAUUUAUCCGGAAUUAUUGGGCGUAAAGCGGCGCUGUACGCGGUUUCUGUAAGUCUCGAUCGUGACUCCCCUCGGCUCUGCCGUUGCGAGGGUCAUUGGAUACUAGUCAUGCUUGAGGUGCAGUAAGAAUGACAGUGUGAAUUCGCAUGAAAUAGCCGUAUGAGAUCGCGGCAGGAGAUACUCGGAGGGAAGCACCGCGUGCCCCCAAUGG
rnacentral:rRNA from 1 species